UAUUAGGUUGGUGCAAAAGUAAUUGCAGUUUUUACCAUUACUUUUAGUGACAAAACCGCAAUUACUUUUAUACCAACCUAAUAAUUUA
rnacentral:miRNA from 1 species